GACGAACGCUGGCGGCGUGGAUUAGGCAUGCAAGUCGAACGGUAGGAUACCUUCGGGUAUCUGAGAGUGGCGAACGGGUGAGUAACACGUAGGUGAUCUACCCUCAAGAUUGGGACAACCCAGGGAAACUUGGGCUAAUACCGGAUGAAAGCAGCAGUGAUGUUGUUUGAAAGGUGGCGUAAGCUGCCGUUUGGGGAUGAGCCUGCGCUCUAUUAGUUAGUUGGCGGGUAAAGGCCCACCAAGGCGAUGAUAGAUAGGCGGCCUUAACGGGUGGUCGCCCACACUGGGAUUGAGAUACGGCCCAGACUCCUACGGGAGGCAGCAGUCGAGAAUAGUCUACAAUGGCCGAAAGGCUGAUAGUGCGACGCCGCGUGAACGAAGAAGCCCUUCGGGGUGUAAAGUUCUUUUAUAUGUGAGCAGUGCUUCUUAUAUUAACAGUAUGGGGAGAGAGAUAUUAGCAUAUGAAUAAGCAACGGCUAACUCCGUGCCAGCAGCCGAC
rnacentral:rRNA from 1 species